rnacentral:rRNA from 1 species
AGAGUUUGAUCAUGGCUCAGAUUGAACGCUGGCGGCGUGCCUAACACAUGCAAGUCGAGCGGUAACAGGUGUAGCAAUACAUGCUGACGAGCGGCGAACGGGUGAGUAAUGCUUCGGAAUCUGCCCAAUGGUGGGGAAUAACCAGCCGAAAGGUUGGCUAAUACCGCAUAAGUCCUACGGGAGAAAGCAGGGGAUCGUAAGACCUUGCGCCGAUGGAUGAGCCGAAGUCGGAUUAGCUAGUUGGUAGGGUAACGGCCUACCAAGGCGACGAUCCGUAGCUGGUCUGAGAGGACGACCAGCCACACUGGGACUGAGACACGGCCCAGACUCCUACGGGAGGCAGCAGUGGGGAAUAUUGGACAAUGGGGGAAACCCUGAUCCAGCGACGCCGCGUGUGUGAAGAAGGCCUGCGGGUUGUAAAGCACUUUUAGUGGGGAUGAAAAGCUCAGGGAUAACACCUCUGGGUCUUGACCUAACCCACAGAAAAAGCACCGGCUAACUCUGUGCCAGCAGCCCGCGGUAAUACAGAGGGUGCAAGCGUUAAUCGGAAUUACUGGGCGUAAAGCGUGCGUAGACGGUUAUGUAAGUCGGGUGUGAAAGCCCCCGGGCUCAACCUGGGAAUGCCAUUCGAGACUGCAUAGCUAGGGUGCGGAAGAGGGAAGCGGAAUUUCCGGUGUAGCGGUGAAAUGCGUAGAUAUCGGAAGGAACACCAGUGGCGAAAGCGGCUUCCUGGUCCAGCACCGACGUUCAGGCACGAAAGCGUGGGGAGCAAACAGGAUUAGAUACCCUAGUAGUCC